UGCUGGCCGAGUGAAAGUGGCAGCCCGGGCUUAAACAACUGAUAAUGACAGGUGUCGCGUUCAAUUUAGUAUCCGGGUCAGAAUCACUUUCAAACAACAGCUUUCCAAGAAGUUCCAGAGAGGCAAACGUGUUCUGAAAACACUUGCUACUAAACAGGUUUCCCCACUUCAGCAUUAUUUCAUACCGUCUCACUGCUUUAGUGAAAGUAUACCGCUUAUUUGCGAAGUAGAGGGGGGCUUAUUCUGGCAGGGGUGCCAAAUUUGGCAAAACACGGCGGGUCCAGACUGAAAACAGAAGCGUCAGGCUAACGGAGAGAGAGAGUUUGCUUCUCAUAAAGACUACAGAAGCAAAAAAAACAACUCAAAUGUCUUCCAGCUUCGUCCUCCCUCAUCAUGUCACUAUCAUACAACCACUACAAACAACUAAAAACCAGAUUACCUUCGUCAACGGUUCGGUUUUUGCAGUUGGGCUCGAUGUGAUUUCUGCUCCUCAACCCGCUCACCUCCGCCAUCUUGGACUACUGAAAUCUAACGUGGCUGACGUCAAAGGAGCUUUUUUCUUCUCACGCUGUCUGCUGAAGUUUGGGACAACCCCCCGGGCUGUCGCAGCUGGGCCAAGUGCGCCGCACAAGUAAACCCGUAGUGAAACCGUGGCAGUGCCUUUCUGCUGGCGCUAUGAUGGAAAAUAAAGACCCCACUACACUUUUGAAUUGUAAAUUUUCACAUUAAAAUUCUCUCAGACAGCUCA